UGAACGUGUCCUCCUCCCCAACACUAGGGGGCGAUAUGGGUCUUUUCAGCGGCGCUGUUUCCGACCCCAUCCAACCGUCAACAACAACAGCAGGUCGGUGUCAGACGUCAGAAGUGUCUACAACUGCUGCUGGAGAAACAAGAAGAUGGAGCAUCGUACAGCGUUGUUUUUGUCCGACAUGAUGGACGCGCUACUUUUUCUAAAGAGGAGACCAACGCUACUCCUCUACUCUGGGGGUUUGUUACGGGGUUACGGGGGCGUGGCUUCAUACUCCGACUACGCUGGUUACAUGGUAGAGAAAAUCUAAUUCCAAUCUCAUUAUCUGGGUGUUUUAAUCAGAGUUCUUAAACUCAGAUUAUAGUCGGACUAAGAUGUUUACAUGACCUUCAGUUGUCCGGUCUUUAUCGGAAUAAGGCGAUAAUUCGGUUUUCUCGAGUGUCAUGGAAACGGACUGACUGU
rnacentral:lncRNA from 1 species